UACGUAGGGGGGCAAGCGUUGUCCGGAAUCAUUGGGCGUAAAGCGCGCGUAGGCGGCCCGGUAAGUCCGCUGUAAAAGUCCAGGGCUCAACCCUGGAAAGCCCGGUGGAUACUGGUCGGGGCUAGAGUGUGGCAGAGGAUGCUGGAAUUCCCGGUGUAGCGGUGAAAUGCGUAGAUAUCGGGAGGACACCUAUGGCGAAAGCAGGCAUCUGGGCCAUCACUGACGCUGAGCUGCGAAAGCUAGGGGAGCAAACAGG
rnacentral:rRNA from 1 species